UACAGAGGGGGCAAGCGUUAUUCGGAAUUAUUGGGCGUAAAGGGCGCGUAGGCGGCUUUGCAAGUGACGGGUGAAAUCCCUCGGCUUAACCGAGGAACUGCCUGUCAGACUGCAUGGCUCGAGACCAGGAGAGGUGAGUGGAAUUCCCAGUGUAGCGGUGAAAUGCGUAGAUAUUGGGAGGAACACCAGUGGCGAAGGCGGCUCACUGGACUGGUACUGACGCUGAUGCGCGAAAGCGUGGAGAGCAAACAGG
rnacentral:rRNA from 1 species